GAUGACCGCUGGCGGCGUGCCUAAUACAUGCAAGCCGAGCGAACAGACGAGGAGCUUGCUCCCCUGACGUUCGCGGCGGACGGGUGAGUACCACGUGGAUCACCUCCCUUUCAGACUGGGAUAACUUCGGGAAACCGGAGCUAAUACCUGCUCAUAUAUUCAACCCCAUGGUUCAAUAGUGAAAGACGCUUUUGCCGUCACUUAUCGAUGGAUCCGCGCCGCAUUAGCUAUUUGGGAAGGUCACGCCGUACCAAGGCAACGAUGCGUAGCCGACCUGAGAGGGUGACGGGCCACACUGGGAGUGAGACAGGGGCCAGACUCCUACGGGAGGCAGCGGGAGGGAAUCUUCGGGGAUAGGGGAAAGCCUGAAGGAGCAACGCAGAGUGGGUGAUGUAGGCCCCCGGAUCGUAGAACAAUGGUAUUGGGAGAGAAGAAAUUUGGAAGUAACUAUGCACGUCUUGACGGUACCGAGUAGGAGAGCCACGGGUAACUACGUG
rnacentral:rRNA from 1 species